CGUUAUCCGGAUUUAUUGGGUUUAAAGGGUACGUAGGCGGAAGAUUAAGUCAGUAGUGAAAGCCUCCCGCUCAACGGGAGAAUUGCUAUUGAUACUGCUAAUCUUGAGUACAUUUGAUGUGGGCGGAAUGUGUCGUGUAGCGGUGAAAUGCUUAGAUAUGACACAGAACACCGAUUGCGAAGGCAGCUCACAAAACUGUUACUGACGCUGAGGCACGAAAGCGUGGGGAUCGAACAGG
rnacentral:rRNA from 1 species